rnacentral:tRNA from 1 species
GGGCGGUUAGCUCAGCUGGUUAGAGUACUUGCCCGACACGCAAGGAGUCACUGGUUCGAAUCCAGUACCGCCCACCA